AUAUAUCACUAACUGUAAUUAAAGACAGUUUUUAAUUAACUAAAUUUUUCUCUUUAAUUCCAAACCGUUCGAAUGAUAUUCCACUGUCUUUGUUAAAUUGAUGUCGAUAUAAAAAAAGAACAAAAACAAUUUUAUUGACGGGCCUCACCCAAAUUUAUGACAAAUGCGAAUGAAAUGUGAUGUCGAGGACCAUUGUCAUCUUCAACAUCUAAAAUAUGUGUGUGUUAAUGAUUUCACGUGAUCAGUAACUGUCUGCUUAAAAUGGCAUCUUCAAGCUCUUCUUCAACGAUAGUGCUCAUCAUCUUGUCUGUUUCUUCUUUUGUGUCCAUAGAAACGACGGAAAGUAUAUAUGGAAAAUGUGACAAUCCUGACCAUACUUUUAACUGUAGUGGUGUUGGUUUGCUGGAGAUUCCAGGCGGAGAACAUAUUCCGUCCUACAUGGAAACAUUAGAUUUAUCAAACAAUCAUAUAAGUAAUAUCAGUUUUCUUAAUUAUCCUACAUUAAGUUCUUCGUUGUCAAAACUGAAUUUAUCAAAUAACCAAAUAUAUAUUGUUAAAAAGGAUGCCUUUAAACUUCUCACAAAUCUUGUUACUCUCGAUUUGUCAAAUAAUCUUAUAUUUGGACCUGACUUAGAUGAAAGCAUGUUUUACGAUUUAAAAAAAUUACAAUACUUGAUCUUAGAGAAAAAUCCUAUUAGACAUAUAAAGAAAGACACGUUUACAUUCAUGGAACUUCCAGCUGUACGGUACUUUGAUUUAUCUCACUGUGAAAUCAGCGAGCUGGAAGCUGGUUCCCUCGACCUACCAUCGCUGGAACACCUGGAUCUAAGCUGGAACAAGCUGCAGAACUUUAAGAGCGACUCGUUCCGUAUGCUCGUGAACCUACAAACUUUAGACAUGAGUCAUAAUAGAAUCACAGUGUUGGAACAGGUGCCGCACAUGCCGGAGCUGAUUAUAUGGAUACUGGACAAUAAUGGAAUGGAAAGGAUUGCAAUUAGAGAUGACCUUAUCGACUUCACAGAUAGUUUACAAAAACUGUACCUGAGAAACAACGACAUAAAGCGAUUCGAUGCAGAGAGUUUACCACUAGAUGACCUAGAUUCUCUUCAAGUGAUAGACAUGUCUAACAACAAACUGAAAUGUGACUGCAAGAUGAGGUGGAUCCGUUCAGAUGACUAUGACUUGAAGGGGAAAAACUAUACAUUCAUGUGCGAAAGCCCGUCAAAUGUAAGGAACAAUAAUCUUCUCGAAAUGGCACCGGAAGAUUUAAAAUGCGGGACAUCCUUGGCAAAGAUCUUGUUUAUCGUCGUGGUAUCAACAGUUGGGGCGCUAGCUCUAAUGUUGAUCAUUUUCUUUGUCAUACGGAGACGGCGGCGUCGGAAGCUUAAGCGGAAAGCUGCUCGAGGUGAUAGUGGAGGUGAUUAUGCUGCAGUGUAUGCACGUGAUGAGGAUGAUGUUAGAAUUUCACUGCCGGAUAAAAAUCAUUUGUUAGAAAAUGAGAGUGACAGAGAAUUUGAUGUUUGAAUUAUAUUUUUCUUGUGAUUUUGAUUAUUGUCUUCUGAACUUCAUUUAACAUUUUUCUGCGUUUAAUCAUUGUGUUGCUUUAAAAGGACAAUUUUCACGACAAUUCAGGUUACCAGUUUAUGUCUUACCACGGACGAGCGCGCUCGACUAGACGUCUACAUUGUUCCCACGUAAUCUUUGAUGGAGAAGUAACUCCGGUAGAAUAUAGCGCAUGUUAGACUAUAAAUGUUAUUUCCCUUUUUACUGACAAGCAGACAAGUUAAUGAUACAGACAUUGACAGUUCAGAUUGAAAACUUUCUUUAUUUUAGCAAAUCAUUGUUUUUCGGGGAAUUUAUCAUAAAAUUUAGAGGGUAAAUGUUCUGUGUUCUAUAAAUUUGAUGUUUUUCUGUAUUCUUUACACAUCCUUUCUGAACGAAAGGCUUUUUAUAACGAUAAGCAGUUAAUAAAAAUAAACCAAUUGCAAGAGAACAUAAAAAAUAGAGUCUUAGACUCUAUUUUUAUAAAGAUGAACAGAAAAUCUUAUGGACUAUACGUUGCUGGUAACACAAAUAUCAUCAAGUGUCUAGAAAUAUACAGUUACGAAGCUAAUAUAAAAAAGAAGUACGAAGUUCCGACGAAGAACAGUUGUUUCUUUCUUUUUUCAUUGUAUUUCGAGCCUCAAUUUGAAAAUUGUUAUAUUUCAAACUUUCAUAAUGCCUUUCUAUGUAUAGUGGCUUGUUUCUGGCAUGUCGUACUGUCGUGUGGUUGGCUGAUCAGAAGAUUGAAACAAUUCAAUUUCUUGCAUAAAAGCUACUUUUUUUCACUUGAUCCGCCCAUGUUUUAACGGGAGAAACAAGGCAAUUCACGUACUGUUAAUAUAUGUUUUUUUUAUCUUUGAAAUGCUUUGCCAGGGACGUAUAUGUAUUAAGGCGCAGCUGUUGGUAUAUAACAUAAGGGGAUAAAAUCAAAAUAUUUUGUUUCGCCUAUAUUUGAUUUUCAGUUUAUCUUAUAACAUUUAAAUGCACAUAGGGUUUUCUAUCUUAGACAAAAUUUCUUUACAAUUUUCAGAAAACAGUACAAUAAAAAUUUAGAUGUGUAUGUCACAUUUUUCUUAAAACUCUAGUGCACAUCUCAAACAAAUGUUCACCAGAUUAUGAUUUGAAUUUAAUGUGAAUGAAGAUGACAUUCUUUUUUACAUCUAAGGCUUAAAAAUUGUUAACAAACCAGACAGAUCUUGAAAAUUAAAAACUUGCUGUUCUUCCUGAAACAUGUUAACCUAGUUCAUUAUUAUUUUUGUACAACAAAAAAUUUUCUUUUUAUAAAAAGCGCCAAAAUAUAAUAAAUUUUAAAGUUAUCAAAUAUUUAUAAAAUAAAAGUUUGAUAAUAAUGUAGUUGCACUGUU